UACAGAGGUGGCAAGCGUUGUUCGGAAUUACUGGGCGUAAAGGGCGCGUAGGCGGCCAUCUAAGUCAGACGUGAAAUCCCCCGGCUUAACCUGGGAACUGCGUCUGAUACUGGAAGGCUUGAGUAUGGGAGAGGGAUGUAGAAUUCCAGGUGUAGCGGUGAAAAUGCGUAGAUAUCUGGAGGAAUACCGGUGGCGAAGGCGGCAUCCUGGACCGACACUGACGCUGAGGAGCGAAAGCCAGGGGAAGCAAACGGGG
rnacentral:rRNA from 1 species